CUGGUUGAUCCUGCCAGUAGUCAUAUGCUUGUCUCAAAGAUUAAGCCAUGCAUGUCUAAGUAUAAGCAACUUGUACAGUGAAACUGCGAAUGGCUCAUUAAAUCAGUUAUCGUUUAUUUGAUAAUCCCUUACUACAUGGAUACCUGUGGUAAUUCUAAAGCUAAUACAUGCUUCAAAGAGUGGCUUUCGUCACUCUGCACUUAUUACAUAAAAAACCAAUGCCCCUUUGGGGCUCCCUGGUGAUUCAUAAUAAUUUAACGGACCGCAUUCCCUCGAGGAGGCGGUGGAUCAUUCAAAUUUCUGCCCUAUCAACUUUCCAUGGUAGGAUAGUGGCCUACCAUGGUUUCAACGGGUAACGGGGAAUUAGGGUUCUAUUCCGGAGAGGGAGCCUGAGAAACGGCUACCACAUCCAAGGAAGGCAGCAGGCGCGCAAAUUACCCAAUCCCGAUACGGGGAGGUAGUGACAAUAAAUACUGAUACAGGGCUCUUUUGAGUCUUGUAAUUGGAAUGAGUACAAUUUAAAUCCCUUAACGAGGAACAAUUGGAGGGCAAGUCUGGUAAUCUUCGACCUGCACGCAUGCACGCUUGUCACUGUCCGUCGUUUUACAACAUCUUGACUGUGAAAAACUUUGCGAUCCACUCA
rnacentral:rRNA from 1 species